GAUGAACGCUAGCGGGAGGCCUAACACAUGCAAGCCGAGCGGUAUUUGUUCUCUGGCACAGAGAGAGCGGCGCGCGGGUGCGGAACACGCGUGCAACUUGCCUUUAUCUGGGGGAUUGCCUUCCGAAAGGAAGAUUAAUUACCCCUAAUAUAUUGAGUGGCAUCAUUUGAUAUUGUAAACUCUGGUGGUUAGAGAUGGGCACGCGCAAGAUUAGCUAGUUGGUGAGGUAACGGCUUACCAAGGCAAUGAUCUUUAGGGGGCCUGAGAGGGUGAUCCCCCACACUGGUACCGAGACACGGACCAGUCUGCUACGGAGGGCAGCGGUGUGGAAGAUAGGAGGCGGGAUUAGCGCCUAAUCCAGCCAUCCCGGGUGAAGAACGCCUGCCCUAUGGAUGGUAAACUUCUUGUGAAUAAGGAUAAUCCGACUCUCGUGAGAGUAGCUGAAGGUACUAUACGAAUAAGCACCGGCUAACUCCGUG
rnacentral:rRNA from 1 species